UACGAAGGGGGCUAGCGUUGCUCGGAAUCACUGGGCGUAAAGCGCACGUAGGCGGGUGGUUAAGUCAGGGGUGAAAUCCUGGAGCUCAACUCCAGAACUGCCUUUGAUACUGGCAACCUAGAGACUGGAAGAGGUUAGUGGAAUUCCCAGUGUAGAGGUGAAAUUCGUAGAUAUUGGGAAGAACACCAGUGGCGAAGGCGGCUAACUGGUCCAGCACUGACGCUGAGGUGCGAAAGCGUGGGGAGCAAACAGG
rnacentral:rRNA from 1 species